AACGAACGCUGGCGGCAUGCCUAACACAUGCAAGUCGAACGAGACCGUCGGGUCUAGUGGCGCACGGGUGCGUAACGCGUGGGAACCUGCCCUUAGGUUCGGAAUAACUCCCCGAAAGGGGUGCUAAUACCGGAUAAUGUCUUCGGACCAAAGAUUUAUCGCCUUUGGAUGGGCCCGCGUGGGAUUAGCUAGUUGGUAUGGUAAAAGCCUACCAAGGCGACGAUCCAUAGCUGGUCUGAGAGGAUGAUCAGCCACACUGGGACUGAGACACGGCCCAGACUCCUACGGGAGGCAGCAAUGGGGAAUAUUGGACGAUGGGCGAAAGCCUGAUCCAGCAAUGCCGCGUGAGUGAUGAAGGCCUUAGGGUUGUAAAGCUCUUUUACCCGGGAUGAUAAUGACAGUACCGGGAGAAUAAGCUCCGGCUAACUCCGUG
rnacentral:rRNA from 1 species